GUGCUUGCUUUGGCAACACAUAUUAUAAAAUUGGAAUGAUACAGAAAAGAUUAUCACAACCCCGCACAGUGACAGUACACACAUUUGUAAAGCGCUUCAUAAUGUU
ensembl:snRNA U6 U6 spliceosomal RNA